AGCAAGAGUUCUGGGGGUCAAGUUGAAGGUUGUUAUAUCUAUAUCUUAUAAAUGUUGGUACAUGCAUAUUUAUGUUGCUGGUUUCUUACAUCUCUUUCAUUAUAAAGAGUUUAGGUGGUGAAUAUUUUGGUAUCGUUUUAAUUUAUGUAUUAGGACAACCUGGUGCCAACCUGUUUAUUUAUCACAUACCUCAAGAAUUUGGAGAUCAAGAGCUUACCACUGCUUUUGUCACAUACCUAAAGUUUUUGUCGAUAAAGCAACCGGUGUUAGCAAAUGUUUUGGGUUUGUUAGUUAUGAUUCCCCAGAAGCUGCUCAAUCAGCCAUUAGUAUGAUGAAUGGGUGCCAAUUAGGAGGUAAGAAAUUAAAGGUCCAGCUUAAGAGGGACAACAAGCAGAGUAAGCCUUACUGAUGAAGCUUAACAAUGGAAUUUUGUAUAAUUCACGUUGUAAUUCAUGACCCAUCUGAUGUUUAUACAAUUUGUAAUUUCUGUAACAUGAAAUUUCAUUUAGACAUUGAUUAUUAAUUUAUUGAUUUUUCCCCCCAAGAAUGGCUAUUGAUUGUA